rnacentral:rRNA from 1 species
AGCGAACGCUGGCGGCAGGCCUAACACAUGCAAGUCGAACGAAGUCUUCGGACUUAGUGGCGGACGGGUGAGUAACACGUGGGAACGUGCCUUUAGGUUCGGAAUAACUCAGGGAAACUUGUGCUAAUACCGAAUGUGCCCUUCGGGGGAAAGAUUUAUCGCCUUUAGAGCGGCCCGCGUCUGAUUAGCUAGUUGGUGGGGUAAUGGCCCACCAAGGCUACGAUCAGUAGCUGGUCUGAGAGGAUGACCAGCCACAUUGGGACUGAGACACGGCCCAAACUCCUACGGGAGGCAGCAGUGGGGAAUCUUGCGCAAUGGGCGAAAGCCUGACGCAGCCAUGCCGCGUGGAUGAUGAAGGUCUUAGGAUUGUAAAAUCCUUUCACCGGUGAAGAUAAUGACUGUAGCCGGAGAAGAAGCCCCGGCUAACUUCGUGCCAGCCGCCGCUGUAAGAC